rnacentral:rRNA from 1 species
GAUGAACGCUAGCGGCAGGCCUCAUACAUGCAAGUCGAGGGGCAACAGGACACUUCGGUGUUGCUGGCGACCGGCGCACGGGUGCGUAACACGUAUGCAAUCUACCUUGUACUGGAGCAUAGCUCUCGGAAACGAGAAUUAAUACUCCAUAUUAUCUCAUUGACGCAUGUCAGUGAGAUGAAAGCUCCGGCGGUACAAGAUGAGCAUGCGGCCCAUUAGCUAGUUGGUGAGGUAACGGCUCACCAAGGCAACGAUGGGUAGGGGUUCUGAGAGGAAGAUCCCCCACACUGGCACUGAAACACGGGCCAGACUCCUACGGGUGGCAG